rnacentral:lncRNA from 1 species
CACAUUGAAUAUAUUUCAAAAACAAAGCUCACUAAAUCUUUGAAAUAAAAGCGAAAGACUGUGUCACUUAUGCCACAGUCCACUUCCUCCUUUACACUUCUCCCCUAGCUCAACAGGAUGAAAGCUCCACUCCAAAGAGAGCUGUCUCUCCCCUAAGCUGCCAGUCAAGCAUUCUAAGGUAUCUCCCUAGGCAGGAUGGACAGGCUACCAGCAUUUUUAGAUCCCCCCUCCCUACUUUCCAAACAAAUGGGGUCAAGACUUCAAGGACUCCUUUCCACCACCAACCCAUUUAAAGCUCCACUAGUUCUACCCAGAUACGAAAGAUGGGUACUACUGGGGUCCAGUUAUCCUCACCCAAGUUUUUUCACAGUGAGAAUAUUCUGUAGUGGAAGAAGCAAGCUGAGCUGCCCAGUGCCUGGCUCAUACAGCCGGAAUGGUACUCCAAGUGAAGUGAGUCAUUGUCCCUACUCUUGGAUCCAGUGCAGUGGCUCCAAAAUUUUACCAGAGGGAGAAGGAGGCAAAAAGAAUGUCAGAACUGCCAUGAGUUGAGUGGCUUUCUCCACUCUCAGACCCAAAAGCAAUGGGGCCAACUGAUCAUUGACUGAAGCCUCCGAAACUGAUCUCCGUUUUGGGAGGCAUAGAAACCUGCUGAGGAGAGAUGGAGCCAUCCCCAAGCCUGAGAAGAUGAGCAUAAUUGACUUAUACCAAACACUUCACUGCUCACUGUGGAUGAAAGAUGAACAACCACACAUCUCCUUUCCUUGAAAAGCCCAUGGGGUCAAAGCAGGGGUGAUGAUCCACAUGGAAGUAUUAUCAAGUCUUGGAUCCAGUUCUCUCAGCAAAGCAUAGAGCUGCCACUGAGUUAAUAAAGAAAUAAAAUUCCUAGACAUUACCUCAUGACACAGAGUCCAUGAAAAUGUACCAAGUUUGGUCCUUUCUAGCCAAGUUCGCUUUGGGAGGUGACUAUGCUAUCACACUCAGUCCUUAACGUUUUCCCUACAUUCUCCAGAGGAACCCCUUGCCCGGGUGCCCUCUGAAUGAGUCACCCGGCAGAGCUACUUCAAAAGGAGAACAGGUUUGAUGACUGGUUUUCUUUUCUGAGUAGGAGGAUUAAGAGUAGUGGCUUGCUUAGCUAUGAAUCAGCAAAAAUAAGGAAAGUACAUAUUGGACCCCGUGCUCCUUCUUAGCCAACCAUGACUUCUGAAGGAGACCAGAGCCCUGGUGGAGAAUAUCACUGGUCCACCAGUCUCAAGACCUCCUCUUGGUUCCACAUGAACCAUAAAUGUACAAAGUCACCAAACUUAAAGGUAUUAAUUUUAUCACUGGUCUGCUGUCUUAGUUAGGGUUCACUAGAGGAACAGAUUUAAUAUAAAAUAUGCAAUCACCACCUGUGCAAUCAAGGGUGAAAAAAUGAAAAAUGGCUGCCUACACUGGAGGCCUGGAGGAUCCAGUUGAAGACUGAAGGCCAAGAGCUCACUGUAGAGUCCAAUAUGAGUCUUUGUUAGAAAUCCAAAGGGUCUACAUUCGAAAGCUGAAGAGUCUGCCCUGGAAGCUUCAAGGAACUAAAGAUGAACAUCCAAAUGGAAUGGCAAAGACUGGAGCUCCUCAAAGAAGAGAAGGAAAGACUUCCUUCUUUUCCUUCUUAUUCUGUGCAGCCUAUAAGCCUGUUGGUUAGUGCUAUGCAUAUCUGUGGUGUGCCUUUCCUCUUUAGUUUGAUCUACUUACCAGUUAUCUUCAGACAUACCCAGAGCUUUACUGAUCUGCUAGGUAUUUCUUACUCAAGCCAAGUUGACGUAACACAAUUAAUGAUCACAUCUACCUUUUGUAGAAAUUGCUGGGAACUGGUAUUUCUUUCCUAACAUACAAGCCUUCCUGUCCUCCCUUACACAUUUUUGCCUAUUCUCCCAUCACCAUGCAUUUAGAGAUAUCCUGGCCUUCUGCUAGUUGUACAAUGUGUAUUUGUCCUUCCUCCAGAGACAUUGUUACAAGAGCCUGACGUCUUGGGAAUGCAUCCCAGAGGUUCUACUUUAAGCUUUUGGGUUCACUUAUGAUGACUCCCUGUGGCUCAGUUUCUGCAUCUAUAAAAUGAAGAUUUACCACCCUUCCCAGAUUCCCAUGGGCUUCCAAUUUAUCAGUGUGCAUCACUGAUCCUAUCUGUACUGUUCCCCACACAGACCAUAUUUGUGGACCACAAGCCUGGCAACCAUGAUAUUUCAGACUCAUUCUGCAUCUGGGCUUAUGUACUUUGUGAAAAGUCAUCAAAUUGUACCUAUUAUUUAUGCCUAUAUACCAUGCUUCAAUAAAGUAUUUACUUAAAACUUUUGCAGUUAUGUCACAACCACUGAGCCAGACAGGGCUUACUUUCUCUGCUCUUUUUCCCCUCUCUUUAGUUUAAAGAAUUAUACAUGCAUAUACAUUUAUUUUAGAAAGCAAAAUGAAACAGCAAACAAAUGAAAAUUAAAAAUGAUGCAUGCUCAUUCCCAGCACCCAGACAAUCACUGC